AGCGAACGCUGGCGGCAGGCCUAACACAUGCAAGUCGAACGAGCUCUUCGGAGUUAGUGGCGGACGGGUGAGUAACACGUGGGAACGUGCCUCUAGGUACGGAAUAACUCAGGGAAACUUGUUCUAAUACCGAAUGUGCCCUUCGGGGGAAAGAUUUAUUGCCUUUAGAGCGGCCCGCGUCUGAUUAGCUAGUUGGUGAGGUAACGGCUCACCAAGGCGACGAUCAGUAGCUGGUCUGAGAGGAUGGCCAGCCACACUGGGACUGAGACACGGCCCAGACUCCUACGGGAGGCAGCAGUGGGGAAUCUUGCGCAAUGGGCGAAAGCCUGACGCAGCCAUGCCGCGUGAAUGAUGAAGGUCUUAGGAUUGUAAAAUUCUUUCACCGGGGACGAUAAUGACGGUACCCGGAGAAGAAGCCCCGGCUAACUUCGUGCCAGCAGCCGCCGUAA
rnacentral:rRNA from 1 species